CGGCGGGACACCUCCCCCCAACGGGAGGCAACCAUCUGGAAGGAUGGAUGAC
rnacentral:ncRNA from 1 species